rnacentral:rRNA from 1 species
UACGUAGGGGGCAAGCGUUGUCCGGAUUUAUUGGGCGUAAAGCGCACGCAGGCGGUCUCUUAAGUUUUGAGUGACAGGUGGUGGCUCAACUACCACAGGGCUUGGAAAACUGGGAGACUUGAGGACUUCAGAGGGAUGCGGAAUUCCAGGUGGAGCGGUGAAAUGCGUAGAUAUAGGAAGGAACACCAGUGGCGAAGGCGACCACCUGGACUGAUACUGACACUGAGGUGCGAAAGCGUGGGGAGCAAACAGG